rnacentral:rRNA from 1 species
CUUAACACAUGCAAGUCGAGCGAUGAAGUUUCUUCGGAAAUGGAUUAGCGGCGAACGGGUGAGGAACACGUGAAGAAUCUGCCCUCCACUUUGGGAUAACACCGGGAAACCGGUGCUAAUACUGAAUAUUGAAACAUAAGUGGCAUCACUGAGUUUUGAAAGAAUUUCGGUGGAGGAUGACUUCGCGGCCUAUCAGCUAGUUGGUGAGGUAAUGGCUCACCAAGGCAACGACGGGUAGCCGGCCUGAGAGGGCGACCGGCCACACUGGGACUGAGACACGGCCCAGACUCCUACGGGAGGCAGCAGUGGGGAAUAUUGGGCAAUGGAGGAAACUCUGACCCAGCGACGCCGCGUGCGGGAUGAAGGCCUUCGGGUUGUAAACCGCUUUCAGUAGGGAAGAAGCGAAAGUGACGGUACCUACAAAAGAAGCACCGGCUAACUAUGUGCCAGCAGCCGCGGUAAUACAUAGGGUGCAAGCGUUGUCCGGAAUUAUUGGGCGUAAAGAGCUCGUAGGUCGUUUGUUACGUCGGAUGUGAAAACCUGAGGCUCAACCUCAGGCCUGCAUUCGAUACGGGCAAACUAGAGUUUGGUAGGGGAGACUGGAAUUCCUGGUGUAGCGGUGGAAUGCGCAGAUAUCAGGAGGAACACCAAUGGCGAAGGCAGGUCUCUGGGCCAAUACUGACACUGAGGAGCGAAAGUCUGGGGAGCGAACAGGAUUAGAUACCCUGGUAGUCCAGACCGUAAACGGUGGGCACUAGUUGUGGGAACCUUCCACGGUUUCUGCGACGCAGCUAACGCAUUAAGUGCCCCGCCUGGGGAGUACGAUCGCAAGAUUAAAACUCAAAGGAAUUGACGGGGCCCCGCACAAGCAGCGGAGCAUGCGGCUUAAUUCGACGCAACGCGAAGAACCUUACCAAGGCUUGACAUAUAGGGAAAAGUGGCAGAGAUGUCAUGUCCGCGAGGGCUCUAUACAGGUGGUGCAUGGUUGUCGUCAGCUCGUGUC